AAGGAGACUUUGUGGGUGUGCUGUAGUGCCAAACCUCAGUGGUCUGGAUACAUUGUUGUUGUUGAUCUAUCUCCAUCGGUGCUUAUGGAUUGGGAGUCUACUUCUACCUUUUAUUGAAGAGAUUUUCGUUUCUUGAAAGUGCUCUCCUGGGAUUGACUAGGAAAGUGUUUUUUGCAGUCUGCUUGAUUGGUCUUCAUUGUGGAGCAAUUUCAGGGGCCUGGCUUUGGGCACCAUUUGCAAUGGGUUUACAACAGAAGGUCAUGCAUUGUUACAGAGUCAUUACUGCCUUUCCCCUUGGGACCACAGCACGCCUGUGUCUUUACCCUUCACCAGCAGCUUCUGACACAUCUUUCUGACAUGUGUGCAGGAGGGCAGGGACAUAGCACACUAACUUCUUUGGCAGAAAUUAGCAGUGGACUGAAAGAGGAGAAAGGAAGAGCAGAGAUUCCACCUUCAAUGAAUUUAUUCAUUCUCACCAAUUUUGUCCGUGUUUUUAAUAAUGUUUUGCUUGUAAUGCAUGAGGUCUUUAAAAGAGCGGGUACCUCAUUGUGAUACUGGCUUUGUGGAGUCCAGGAAGACAAGGGAGCUGGAAUGUGGACAUGAAGAUUGCUCAUGGUAACUGUGUCUGUAACAUGUCUAGAUCCAGCACACCACACCCCUGCUGCUCCUUACAGCAGCUUAUAUUCAGCCUGAGUUCACAGUGCCUGCAAACCCUGCCUGUCCUUGAGUCAACUUCACUGUGCAGAAAAACCUAACAGCUGCAGUUAUCUCCCUGGCAAGCUGCACGAUAGUGGAAAAACAUUGAGCAUGGAUAGAGCCUUCUCACUCAAAGCAUUUCUGCUUUUCUGCAACUGAGGAUCCCAAGACUUUCAUUGAACCCAAAUAGUAUUGAAACCUACAAACAAUAUUUGCACCAAUAAUGGAAGACCCUAAGUCUGUUGUCCCAUUAAUUACAUUAAUUCUGCCAAGGCAGUAAUUCCCACUGAGUCACAGACAAGCAGGACAAAAAACUGGUUCUUUCUUCUCAUCCCUCAGCUCUAGUCAUGAACAUGCUUGCUCUGCUCGCUGCCACACUGAUGAUAGAUUUUUAUAUUCUUCUCUUAACAGGAGAGGAUUUGUGAAUUAAACACGCACUCACAGCCCUAGCAAGGUCAUACCACAGGACUCUGAACUACAGCUGCUUUUGAAAGAGAAACUCGCUGCUGAUCAGUCCAACCCUCCACACACACUUUUACAAACAUAAUCAUUCUGAGGCCUUUUCGGGAGACAAAAGAACUGUUUGACUUCAAGGUUAAUUCGAAGUUUUCAAGUAGCCAUCUCAGCAUGUGACCAGUGUCUCUUCUGAGUGAUUCAGCCUAUGGCUGCCCUAAGGUGGUGGCUCCUUUUUUAGAACACAAGAAAAUAAAUGUACUGGUCUUCCAAAAAAGCCUUGUGCAAACCCUGUGGGACACUUCCCAGCCAGGACAUCUUGGAGGAUCUCUCAAGUCAGUGCUCAUUCCUGUCAUGCUGGUUGACCGUAGGUGUGCAGCCUGUAACACUUGCAGCAAUCUCUGACCCACAGCCUAUGUCUCAGAGUUUGCAUCGCCCAUUAACAUUUCUCAUACCUUUCGCUUUACCUGCAUCUCUGAGUUCAUUUAUUUUUAUAUCUUCAUAAAUCAAACAGCACAGCUCAUUGCUAUGAUUAUAUUGAAGUAAAGCCCUCUCUUUUAUCACAGCACUUUGCUUGCCCUCCACCUCUGGUUCUCAGCAGGUUCUCAGAUGCCUUGUUAAGACCUUCAAAGCCUCACAGCAUACUCUGAGAAGAAUGCAUCUGUCCUGGGGCUAUGAGAAACUAAUUCUGCAAUAGUAUAAUUUAUGAAACUCAGCAUCCUUCUUUUCCUUUCCAUGCAAAGCUGAACAGGAACUAGGGCUGCUGAAUUAAUCUGAAAGUUUAUACAUCACAUUACUUAUAAUCUGAACUGUAGCUGCUUCUUCAUACUUCAUGUUGAAUUAUCCUUUCAGGGCUAGAUCCUCACCUGAUCUUUUCCCCACAGAUUAACCAUUCCAGUGAGGCUGGCUGUAAAUCAAGGAAAAUUCAUCCCUUUCUUUCUAGUCAUAAAAAGAAGUGUAACUUUGUCUAUCUGAAUUUUUUCUUUGAUUUUUAUUUCUCCAAUCUUUUACAUAGUCAUCAUAGAUGUUAAGAAGCCUGUUUUGGAAAUGAUUAAUGCUAUUAAUAAUUUCCUAAUUCAAUAAAACCUCUCACCUUGCAAUAUUUUUCUGCUUUCUUCAGCUUUUCACUAAUUCAAACAUAUGACAAAUACAACACUUCGUUUCAGUUUUCUAUUAUUUCUCAUGUCUGAUCAAAUAAAUUAACAGACUUUCA